GCCCGGCUAGCUCAAUCGGUAGAGCGUGUGACUCUUAUCAUUGGAAGAUGUACAAAGUCAUCACAAGGUUGCGGGUUCGACCCCCGCGUUGGGCU
rnacentral:tRNA from 1 species